UACGAGGGGGGCAAGUGUUGUUCGGAAUCACUGGGCGUAAAGGGAGCGUAGGCGGGCUUUUAAGUUGGAUGUUUAAAACCGGGGCCCAACCCCGGCGUGGCAUCCAAAACUGGAAGUCUUGAAUGGGACAGAGGCCAGUGGAAUUGGAGGUGUAGCGGUGGAAUGCGUAGAGAUCUCCAAGAACACCAGUUGCGAAGGCGGCUGGCUGGGUCCACAUUGACGCUGAGGCUCGAAAGCAUGGGGAGCAAACAGG
rnacentral:rRNA from 1 species